UCUGGCUAAGAUAUGAUAUUUUGGCCGGAAUUUACCAGAAAUUCUAAAAAAACAGUCAAUUUUCAUGGCUGUCAUGGGUGCUGCUGCAAGUAGUAGUGCCAGGCGUGAGAGGUUGCCAGCGCUUCAUCAGCAGCAACCCAUAGCUGCUGCUGAAGCCUCACGCCAGCACGGCCAGGCGCUGCUGGAAGCCUACCUUGAGGAAGAAGCCUCACGUUGGAGGUUGCACAGU
rnacentral:lncRNA from 1 species